GACACAAAUACAAGCCAUCAAUUAAGUAAAAUAUAUAUUAUUAAAAAUCAUGUAUAGGUACUUCAAUAUUACAUCAUCAGAUGAACUAAAAUUCCAAAAAGAAUCAUAGUCAUUUCUUGCAACAUUUUUGAAUGAGCACUCGGCGUAAUCUGGCAUUGAGUCUGCCUUCUUAACAUCAGCUAAAAAUACCAGAAAUGUCAUGUAUAUUUAUCCAAACAGAACUGCUAUUUGGGGGAUCUUUUUAACUAAUUUUUUAAACUCAUCUUCAUCUCCCGGAAUAUCUUUUCUCAGAUAUCUAUCCUCAGAAGCUCUAAUUCUUGUUCCCUGCAUAAAAAAGUUACAUCACAUAUAGAAGUUAAAUUUCGGCGAGUUUUUACAAGAAGCAGACACUCUUUUAGUCUAACUCUAACACUUAGCAAUGACACCAUGUAACUCAUAAAAUACAUAAAAGUUGUUGAUCAGACUCGAAGUAAAUAUGGAUGUCAAUUCAACAGGGAACUCAAAUAAAGCUAACCAACAACUGACUCAAUUGCGUGACUUGGCAGACUAAAGAAAUUGAAAAAACAAUUCUGUAUAUCUCAGUCCUGAUUAUGUUAACUUCUGCUCAUAGUAUAUUCUCUUGACACACCUCAAGAAAAAUACUUAAAUUUCAAUUGAGUAUCAAAUUUCUAUCUGGCAAUUUAUAGAACAAGGUAUCAAUCAUAUUUCUCAAGCCUCUUAUCUCUAAAGAAAACAAGGAUGUAGAGCAAUCUGUCAAUUCAUAUAUAUAUCGUAAAGUAACUCGGUUCUCUAAAUGAUGAUCAUUUUUAUUUAACAUCAAAAUAAUAUGGCUGAAGAGCCUUUGAAUCAAAUAUGCAAAUCAGAAUGUAGAGGUCCAAAUUAUGGAAAGCAAUAGAAAAUAAAAAGCUACAUGUACCCAACUUUCUAUAUGUCACCAACUAACUUUCUUGACAAGUCAUGUUUUGUCAAUAACACAAAGAUAUAGAAAGACAUCAAAAAACUAUUAUCACUUCACAUGUACAAUAAAAACAGAAGAAAUGUUAUUUAUAACAUUAAGAUUUCGAACGACUUUUAAAAAACUAUUAUCACCUCACAUAUAAAAUAAAAAAAAAAUGAAAGAUACUAUCAUUUGAUUAUUUUUCAUACAACACAUGUUGCAUAUCUAAUGUUCUUAGAGUAGACCAUAAAAUUCUUACCAACCAUUUGAAACACAUGAUUAAAGUCACUACGAAUCACUAAAGAAAGUAGAUCAGCUGGAGUUUGAUUUAUAUGAAUGAUAUAAACAAAGAUUAGAAAAAAGAAAUCAUGUGCUUGUCUUCAAUAGACCGCAAAUAAGAACUUUAUGGCCAAUACAUCUAAAUCAAACUCUCAUAAAUGCUUAAUUUUAUUGCCAAAUAGACUACGCAAUGAAGACAGUCAACCAACAAGUAAUGAAAAGAUUAUAAACUGAAAAGAAAUCUGAUGCCUCGCAUACUUUCACAUGCCUCUUAGUAAAUGUCUACCAAGCGAGGACCAAUUUCUUUUAUGUAAUAUUUUCAGCUUAUGGGCUCACGCUCCUGCAUGAUUAAGAAGGGAAGAUCCAUUCGGUGUUAGAGCCUCUAAAUUUUUCCAAUCCAGUAAAUUAAACAUAUAUAAAAAAGAUAACUCAAAAAUGUAAUAAAAAUCAGAUACCAAUGAUAAAAUCAAAAAGAAAAUGAAUACUAAAUUUAAUUCAAAUACAUUAAACAUAUAUGAAAAGAACAUAUUUGAAUAAAUAAAUUCAAGUCAAUUCAUGUUGCGAAGUAUGCUUAUUUAAAAGAAGAGAAAGACCUACAAUAGCACUCCAUAGCUCACAUAAGAGAAUAUAUAAAUGUCCAAACAAUACUACACAAAGCUCUUGAUUCAAUCAAUAUAAUCAAUUAAGACUCAUCCAUGUACAGUGAAGCUCGCGAAGUCACAACGCUGAAAGUAGCACGGAUUGCACAACCACUGAACCAAAACAAACAGCCACCUCACCUCACUGGAAUAAUGGUGUCGGCACAGCAAAACAAGCACAAUAUAUUAAGAAAAAUAAAAAAGCACCUAAUUUUCACUAAAACAAUGCUUGAUUUAAUUAAAUCACUAAUUAUCCAAUUUCAGCAAUUCCCAAGCUAAAAUAAGGAAAAAUUAUUGAUAAUCUCAUUAAUAAAAAAAUUCAUUUAGUGAUAAAAAGUAAACUAGAAAUAGAAUGCCACAUAAACUUACAGAAGAUGAGGAAAAGGGUAAAGAAGUAACAACUGGUAUUUUCUUUGCCCGCAGAAAUGUAAUUCUCAUAUCACCUAGGCAGAGAAAGAGUGAUAUCACUCCAAAUGACACUAUAAUUACUUCGUUGAAACAAUCGAAUCCUUUGACCAAAAUAAUUAUAUAGAUCAGUUAUAGGACAUAGCAGUAGAUGGCCAUAAAAAGCUCUACUUCACGCACAACUCCUGCUUCAAUCAACCAAGUUUCAGAAAUAAAUUAAACUUUUCCUUAGAUCAGUACAAAUAUUUUUUUUAUAUAAAAGAAAGCAACAAAAGCGCAUAUCAAACAACUAUAUUGGCAGAGAAAAGAAAAUCACGAUGAAACCCUAGAUCCAAAUGAAUCCAUAAUCAAUACAUAGGGAAAAUGAGGAAAAAGUAGAGAGGACCUUGCUUAUUUGGAGUUAGGAGUUGACAGAGCAAAGCAAACCAACAAUGAAACUCUAGAUUCGCGCGACGAAGGUUGGCGAUUGCAGACCAGAAGCUUCCCGUUCGAAAGCCACAUUACUCAGUUUCCAAUCGAGGACCUUAGGGGAAGAGAUUAAGAGAAGAGAGAUGACGGAUGCGCCGGAUGCGCCGGAUCGGUGGGAGGGAUAGGGAGAGAUUGGAGAGAAGGGUUUAUUAGGGUGAGAGUGACAGAGGGGGUUCUAUCUUUUAGGGUGAGAUUAGUGCCUGAUAGAAAUAAAGGUAGCAACGGUCUGAUUAUACACUUAACCGCCGUUUUCCAAAUAAACAAUAUGGUUGUUGAACUAACGCCAUAAUGUUUUGCUUAUUACAG
rnacentral:lncRNA from 1 species